AUGCAUAUCCACUCUCUUGUGGACCCGAAUCAGACCGGAUUCCUCCCCGGCAGGCGCAUAUCCGAAAACAUCGUCUAUGCCGCGGAUCUUCUUCGCGCAUGCCACUUGCGCAAGGUCCCUACUGUGGUGUUCAAAAUCGACUUUCGCAAAGCCUUUGACUCAGUUAACUGGUCGAGUCUGUUGAACAUUAUGUCCGUGCGGGGGUUCGAUGAUCGGUGGUGCGGGUGGAUUCUCUCCAUCCUUUCGACUGGUCACACCUCGGUUCUCCUUAAUAACAUCCCCGGGGAUUGGUUCCUUUGCCGCAACGGCCUGCGCCAGGGUGAUGCCCUCUCCCCU
rnacentral:rRNA from 1 species